UCUUGAUUUGGGCGAGGCAGGAGGAGAGAGCUCGGUUAACAAAUUAGAAACCUGGACAAGGAGUCUUGUAGGGCCUUGCUAAGGUACAAAAGCCCACAGACACCUGCAUUUUGAAGAACUUCAUGGAAAAGGAGGCUCGAGUGGCAAGGUCCAAAGACAAUAAGACCUGACCAGUUGCUCUUUCUCUUUGAACCUUGGGAGAAGCUGAGUAGAGCACACAAAGAAAGGAUCUCCAGCAACCCAGCCAGGCUCUAUAGAAAUAUGAAGGUCAAAUAUUCUGUAUCUCUACCUUCCAAGGCCACUCUCAGAUGGAAUCUUAGAUGAGCCUUCAAAGCCAUAAUAUUCUCGAUAUCCUUUGGUGAUAAAGUAAUAAAAAGGAUCUUCUAAUUUGACUAAAAGUAAGU
rnacentral:lncRNA from 1 species